UUACUAUUAUUGUUAUUAUCAUCCACUUACCUAGACCUUAGAUGUAAAUGUGCUGCAGUGGCUGUUGCUGUCGGGGUACAUAAUAAUGUACCUUUAGAUGAGUACAGCUGAACGAACAACGCGUAUAACCCUUUUUCCUGUACACCUCUUUCUCUCUCUUCGCGGUCAUAUACAUACAUUAUAAUAUUAUAAUGAAACUAACGUGUAACCCUUUAAUCGGGUCGCACGUCACACAGUACACGACCAGGUCUCAGGAAGAUAACAUGGUUCUCUGCCAACGUACGGAUAUUAGCUUAGGUUAACAUCGAUAGAAUCUCUGCAAAGUCAAGUUUUUAUAUGGUGCGGCACCGGUAAAACACUAAGGCGAAGAACUGUCGACUCUUCCGGAGAUCAAAGUAUCAUUAUAGAGAAAUAUUUGUGUAUUUUUCUAAAAUAAACAUUUGUAAACGUUUUAUCUGGACAUGAAUGUUUCUCAUAAAUAAGUUGCAUUAACACCACAGACGAACAUAUUGUCUGGCCUAAAAAGUUAAUCGGAUACAGUGGUGGUAUUGAGAAUACUGAAAAUGGAAAAGAUGAACUCAAUUUGUUUUACCAAGAAAAAUGCAAAAUCUCUUUGAACAAUAUUAUGGAUGAUUUAUGUUAAAAAAACGGAAAAAGCAACAUCAAACCGUCAGAAUUCAGUUUUAAAUGCUUUUAACUUAAACCCAAUCAAAACACAAAGAAAAACGACAAAGCUCCGAUUUAUGUUUUAUUUUUGAUACAAUUUCCGGAUAUCCGAUUGUACUUGUUUUUUCUUUUUUUGAGUAAAUUAUAAUUUCAAUAUAAUAUUAUGUAAGAGACUAAUAAAAUACAACUGAAAGUUAAUAUUGUUGUUAUUGAGUUGAAAUAAAAA